rnacentral:sRNA from 2 species
UCAUCGCGUCGUCUCGAGGGAAGAAAGCUAAGCAAGAACCCUGCCCAUGUUGGCAUCAUCACUGAGCGUUUGCAUUUUCGACUGUUGGCUAGUUAGCAAGGGGAUUGGAUAGUUGUUUCUACAAAUCAAUUAACUUACAUAACCAUGGUCUGGUUAAAGUUCUUGAAGCGGCUGGUAAGCGCAUAUUUAGCAAUGUGAGGUAUGUGAGGUCUCAUUGCGCUCACAUCCCGCUAGAGUAAGUUCAUGGCGACUGGUGCAAAUAUUUCCUCCACGGUCCAAGGAAACAGCUGUCAUCCUCACGGAGGUUGGGGACUGUUCUCUGAACACGGAAUAAAAGACUUGGAAGUAGUUUUUAGAGGGCCUUUUUUUUAAAAAAAAAAUAAAUAAAUAAAAUAAAAUAAAAUAAAAAUAGAAAUAGAAAUAGCUUUGGUUCGUGUAGAGAACGUCCGCUGGAACGGCCAAAUUGCCAUUGGGGUCUAACAUUGCGAGAUUGAGACCCUGGCGAUUGAGGGUCUGCUGCGAGGAGGAGAAGGAGAGUGCAAAAUUUGUUUAGCCGCACUUUCCAGUAAAAUAGCCAUGAUAUCUUUUCCUAGUCCAGUACAUCUGAUAAUGGUGACCUCUUGACCACGGGAGAUUGUGACGCGCAACAUGGCGGAGUGCGAAUUCUACCAUUCAAGUACUUUGCCAGUACAAAGCUAUGUCGUGG